rnacentral:rRNA from 2 species
GCUGGGUGGAUUAGUGGCGAACGGGUGAGUAACACGUGAGUAACCUGCCCCUGACUCUGGGAUAAGCGUUGGAAACGACGUCUAAUACUGGAUAUGACUACUGGUCGCAUGGCCUGGUGGUGGAAAGAUUUUUUGGUUGGGGAUGGACUCGCGGCCUAUCAGCUUGUUGGUGAGGUAAUGGCUCACCAAGGCGACGACGGGUAGCCGGCCUGAGAGGGUGACCGGCCACACUGGGACUGAGACACGGCCCAGACUCCUACGGGAGGCAGCAGUGGGGAAUAUUGCACAAUGGGCGAAAGCCUGAUGCAGCAACGCCGCGUGAGGGAUGACGGCCUUCGGGUUGUAAACCUCUUUUAGUAGGGAAGAAGCGAGAGUGACGGUACCUGCAGAAAAAGCACCGGCUAACUACGUGCCAGCAGCCGCGGUAAUACGUAGGGUGCAAGCGUUGUCCGGAAUUAUUGGGCGUAAAGAGCUCGUAGGCGGUUUGUCGCGUCUGCUGUGAAAUCCCGAGGCUCAACCUCGGGCUUGCAGUGGGUACGGGCAGACUAGAGUGCGGUAGGGGAGAUUGGAAUUCCUGGUGUAGCGGUGGAAUGCGCAGAUAUCAGGAGGAACACCGAUGGCGAAGGCAGAUCUCUGGGCCGUAACUGACGCUGAGGAGCGAAAGCGUGGGGAGCGAACAGGAUUAGAUACCCUGGUAGUC